rnacentral:rRNA from 1 species
GACGAACGCUGGCGGCGUGCUUAACACAUGCAAGUCGAACGGAAAGGCCCUGCUUUUGCGGGGUGCUCGAGUGGCGAACGGGUGAGUAACACGUGAGUAACAUGCCCCUGACUUUGGGAUAACUUCAGGAAAAUGCGGCUAAUAUCGGAUAGGAGCUCCUGCUGCAUGGUGGGGGUUGGAAAGUUUCGGCGGUUGGGGAUGGACUAGCGGCUUAUCAGCUUGUUGGUGGGGUAGUGGCUGACAAAGGCUUUGACGGGUAGCCGGCCUGAGAGGGUGACCGGCCACAAUGGGACUGAGAUACGGCCCAGACUCCUACGGGAGGCAGCAGUGGGGAAUAUGGCACAAUGGGCGGAAGCCUGAGGCAGCAACGCCGCGUGCGGGAUGACGGCCUUCGGGUUGUAAACCGCUUUCGCCUGUGACGAAGCGUUAGUGACGGUAAUGGGUAAAGAAGCACCGGCUAACUACGUG